AUGCUUUUGGCCCCCUAUACCCACGAGGAUGUGCGGAAGGCGGUUUUCAGUAUAGGUGAUCUUAAAGCACCUGGGCCUGAUGGGAUUCAUGCCAUUUUCUUCAAAAAGUUUCGGCAUAUUUUGGGUGAUGAGAUUUCUCAAGAGGUUUUGUUUGCAAUAAAUUCAAGGCAAAUUCCAGCAGAAUGGAAUGAUACAUCCAUAGUUCUAAUACCCAAAGUGGAUUCACCCGAAUUAAUCACACAGUACAGACCUAUCAGUCUUUGUAAUGUCUUAUAUAAGAUAAUAUCAAAGAUGCUCGCUUCUAGGUUGAAAGGAAUUUUGCCUGAUAUUAUUUCUCCUACUCAUAGUGCUUUUGUUCCUCGACGGUUAAUUACUGAUAAUGUCCUUAUUUCCUAUGAGUGUAUCCAUAAAAUAAAAAACACAAGAGCAGGGCGAACAGGUCUGUGUGCAGUGAAACUGGACAUGCACAAGGCUUAUGACCGUGUUGAGUGGAUUUUCUUAAGAAGCAUGAUGGAAAAGCUAGGGUUCCACGCCCUAUGGAAUGAUAUGAUUAUGGCUUGUGUAUCCUCUGUUAGAUACAAAGUAAGAUUUAAUUCUCAAGAAACAAAUAUGUUCACCCCUACUAGGGGGAUUCGACAAGGGGAUCCCCUCUCCCCAUACUUGUUCCUUCUUUGUGCAGAAGGGAUGUCUAGUAUGUUGCAGUAUGAAGAAGAAGUUGGUGGCAUGGAUGGAAUUAGAGUGUGCAGAAAUGCACCGUCAGUAUCACACCUUUUAUUUGCUGAUGAUUCUCUAAUUAAUUCUCAUGAGAGCAGAUGUGUUAAAUGCAACUUCCUUACAGCAAGUACUGGAUACCUAUUGUGCAAGUUCAGGACAAAUUGUGAGUCUGGCUAA
rnacentral:rRNA from 1 species